rnacentral:rRNA from 1 species
UACGUAGGGGGCAAGCGUUGUCCGGAAUUAUUGGGCGUAAAGAGCGCGUAGGCGGUCCGGUAAGUCGGUUGUGAAAGUCGGGGGCUCAACCCUGGGAUGCCGGUGGAUACUGUCGGGCUCGAGUCCGGAAGAGGAGUGUGGAAUUCCUGGUGUAGCGGUGAAAUGCGCAGAUAUCAGGAAGAACACCGAUGGCGAAGGCAGUUCUCUGGAACGGUACUGACGCUGAGACGCGAAAAGCGUGGGGAGCGAACAGG